rnacentral:rRNA from 1 species
UACGUAGGUGGCAAGCGUUGUCCGGAUUUACUGGGCGUAAAGGGCGUGCAGGCGGUCUGUUAAGUUCAGGGUGAAAGCUCCCGGCUCAACUGGGAGAGGUCCUUGGAUACUGGCAGACUCGAGGGAGGUAGAGGAGAGUGGAAUUCCCGGUGUAGUGGUGAUAUGCGUAGAUAUCGGGAGGAACACCAGUGGCGAAGGCGGCUCUCUGGGCCUUUCCUGACGCUGAGACGCGAAAGCGUGGGGAGCGAACAGG